AACGAACGCUGGCGGCAGGCUUAACACAUGCAAGUCGAGCGCCCCGCAAGGGGAGCGGCAGACGGGUGAGUAACGCGUGGGAAUCUACCCAUCUCUACGGAAUAACGCAUGGAAACGUGUGCUAAUACCGUAUACGUCCUUCGGGAGAAAGAUUUAUCGGAGAUGGAUGAGCCCGCGUUGGAUUAGCUAGUUGGUGGGGUAAAGGCCUACCAAGGCGACGAUCCAUAGCUGGUCUGAGAGGAUGAUCAGCCACACUGGGACUGAGACACGGCCCAGACUCCUACGGGAGGCAGCAGUGGGGAAUAUUGGACAAUGGGCGCAAGCCUGAUCCAGCCAUGCCGCGUGAGUGAUGAAGGCCCUAGGGUUGUAAAGCUCUUUCACCGGUGAAGAUAAUGACGGUAACCGGAGAAGAAGCCCCUGCUAACUUUGUGCCAGCAGCCGCCGUAAGAC
rnacentral:rRNA from 1 species